rnacentral:rRNA from 1 species
GACGAACGCUGGCGGCGUGCUUAACACAUGCAAGUCGAACGGAAAGGCCCGGCUCUUGUGGGGUGCUCGAGUGGCGAACGGGUGAGUAACACGUGAGUAACCUGUCCUUGACUGUGGGAUAACUUCAGGGAACUGGGGCGAAUAUCGGACAGGAGAUCCUGCUGCAUGGUGGGGGUUGGAAAGUUUCGUCGGUUUGGGAUGGACUGGCGGCUUAUCAGCUUGUUGGUGGGGUAGUGGCUUACCAGUGCAUGGAGGGGUAGCCGGACUGAGAGGGUGACCGGCCACAAUGGGACUGAGAUACGGCCCAUACUGCUACGUGAGGCAGCAGUGGGGAAUAUUGCACAAUGGGCGGAAGCCGUAUGCAGCAACGCCGCGUGCGGGAUGACGGCCGUCGGGUUGUAAACCGCUUUCGCCUGGAACGAAGCGUGAGUGACGGUAACGGGUAAAGAAGCACCGGCUAACUACGUG